rnacentral:rRNA from 1 species
CCUACGGGCGGCAGCAGUGGGGAAUAUUGGACAAUGGGGGCAACCCUGAUCCAGCCAUGCCGCGUGUGUGAAGAAGGCCCGCGGGUUGUAAAGCACUUUCAGUGAGGAAGAACGCCUGGUGGUUAAUACCCAUCAGGAAAGACAUCACUCACAGAAGAAGCACCGGCUAACUCCGUGCCAGCAGCCGCGGUAAUACGGAGGGUGCGAGCGUUAAUCGGAAUUACUGGGCGUAAAGCGCGCGUAGGUGGCUUGAUAAGCCGGUUGUGAAAGCCCCGGGCUCAACCUGGGAACGGCAUCCGGAACUGGCGAGCUAGAGUACAGGAGAGGAAGGUGGAAUUCCCGGUGUAGCGGUGAAAUGCGUAGAGAUCGGGAGGAAUACCAGUGGCGAAGGCGGCCUUCUGGACUGACACUGACGCUGAGGUGCGAAAGCGUGGGUAGCAAACAGGAUUAGAUACCCCGGUAGUC